UCUAGGAACUGCAAGAAAGUUAAAUUUUUAGAGAUUCAUGUCUCUCUUUUAAUAUGAAAUUGAAAGUUCCUAUUGGGACUCUAAAUUAGUCAUAUACAAAAUGAUUUGGUUAUUGUAGAAAGGGGAUAUCUUCUUUCUCUCGUUCCCAAAAUAUUUUGUCUGUGUAUAUUUCCUACAGCUAAAAAUGUACAUUGAUGCAAGAAAUUAAAAGAUAAAUUAUUUUAAGCGCAAUACCAUUGUUCUUUAAAAAUAUUUAAAUAUACCUAUCAGUGUACACAAAAUAUGAGUAAUUUGUUCUAGACACUCUUAAAAGCGCAAAAGAAAAAACAAAGCAGGCUGAAGAUACAUCAAAUGUUGAUUAUGAUACGGAUGAUUCUAGUAACUGUAGAGAUAUGGAAACACGAAAAAUUAGAAAAAGAAAACAUUCUUUUAUCUAUGAAAGUGAAGUUGCUGAUGAUGAAGUUGAAGACAAUUUUCAAGAAAGCGAAACAGGAAAUACAAACAUCUGUAGUAUUACUAAACAAACACCACCUGAUCACUUGAUGGCAAUACAGUCAAGCUCAGGGUUGCAUAUGUCAAAAUAUCUAAACAAUCCACAUUCAAUACAUCUGAUAGCGAGCCUGGUAUUUUACACCCUGGUGUUUUGUCCAAUCAAUCAAAAACUAUCAUGGAAACACCAGUUCACGUGUUAAGUUCGAUCAACUCAUCUAUUCUUUUGGAGAGGUUAAUAACAACCCUUGAAGAAAUUAAAGAAACUCAAAAGACUCAUUCUGCAAUGUUGCAGUCUAUUAUGCGACAAAUCAAUACACCUCAGGUGGAAGGAUUGAUUGCGAAACAAUUUAAAUUAUUUGGUAAUAAAACUAUUUGUUAAGUUAAUUCGUGUCUAUAGAGACCUGUUUACGACUUGCACGACCACACGUACGAAUAUCACCGUACGGCAAUCCUCGAAUAUCUAAGAAAAUAGUAAAUCUUAUAUAUUUUAUUUAAUAGACGAAUAUUUUUUAAGUUCAAACUAUAUUUCUGAUAAUAACAAAUCAGCAUGAUCUGAUAUAGAUUUUUUUUUCCGGCUGUCUUGGCCUCGAUCUUGGGCGUUAGCAAACCAAUUACGUAACUCAACCUCUAUUACUUUUUGGGUUGCAUUAGCUGUCAAUGCGUUUCUUUUAACUGCACCUAAACAAAAACGAAAAUAAUUGUAAAAAUUAUUAUAAUUUAUGUUUAAGUAAAAAUAUCUAAUUUUAAAAAUAUUCAAAUAAAAAUAAUUUAUAAAUUAUACAUAUAAUGAUUGAUAUGUGAAAAGCAUAACAUACCACAGACUACAUCAAAUAUUUCCAGUUUCGAAAAGCAUACUUUUCCAGCCUGCCCAGAAAGAUUACACAGUCUUCCAAGAUUAUUAGAUAGAAUGAAUUUCAUCAUUCUUUUAACGGCAUCAUCCAAGUGCUAGUCUAACACCCCAGCAACAUAUUUUAUAGCAUGAAAUAAAUAAAAUAUGUAUAGUUAUAUUGACAUAUUUUGUUAAUAAGCUGAUGAAUAAUCAUCUGAUGAGUGAUUUUAAUAUGAAGGAUAAGCAUGGAAAGCAGCCCUUUGGUGUUACUUGCCUUUAUAAAAUAAUAAAAACAAACGCAUUUAAUUUAAACAAUUGCAAUGAGAAGGAUGUCGACGAUGCCAUUUCAAAGCACCUUAAGCAUGCGCCAAAGAGAAAAGGUGGACGUAAAUUCACCGAAAAAAAUGUUUUACAACGAUAUUUUGAAAUGUUUAUGUAACGUAUUUGUUUAUAAAUGUAUUAAAAUACAGUUAUA